rnacentral:rRNA from 1 species
GACGAACGCUGGCGGCGUGCUUAACACAUGCAAGUCGAACGGAAAGGCCUUGCUUUUGUUGUGUGCUCGAGUGGCGAACGGGUGAGUAACACGUGAGUAACCUGCCCUUGACUUUGGCAUAACUUCAGGAAACCGGGGCGAAUACCGGAUAGGAGCUCCUGCUGCAUGGGGUGGGUCGGAAAGUGUCGGAGGAUGGGGUUGGGCUCGCGGCUGAGCAGCCGGGUGUUGGGGUUGUUGCUGACCAAGGCUGUGAACGGGAGCCGGCCUGAGAGGGUGGACGGCCGCAUGGGGACGGCGAUACGGCCCCGACUCCUACGCGCGGCAGCAGUGGGGAAUAAGGCACGAUGGGCGGAGGCCUGAUGCAGCGACGCUGCGUGGGGGAUGACGGCCUUCGGGUGGUAACCUCCUUUCGACCGCGAGGAAUCCACCUGGUUGGAAGGGUGGUGACGGUAGUGGUAGAAGAAGCACCGGCUAACUACGUG